GUGCUCGCUUGGCAGCACAUAUACUAAAAUUGGAACAAUAGAGAAAAUUAGCAUAGCCCCUGCACAAGGAUGACACAAAUUUGUGAAGCAUUCCAUAUUAAA